UACCUCAAAAUUCCGCAACAGUCUGUUUCAUCAGUAAAGAAUCAUCAGGCGGUAUCUGAUGAAACAGACUGUUGCGGAAUAU
rnacentral:miRNA from 1 species